rnacentral:rRNA from 1 species
UGGGGAAUUUUGGACAAUGGGCGAAAGCCUGAUCCAGCAAUGCCGCGUGUGUGAAGAAGGCCUUCGGGUUGUAAAGCACUUUUGUCCGGAAAGAAAUCCUUGGCUCUAAUACAGUCGGGGGAUGACGGUACCGGAAGAAUAAGCACCGGCUAACUACGUGCCAGCAGCCGCGGUAAUACGUAGGGUGCAAGCGUUAGUCGGAAUUACUGGGCGUAAAGCGUGCGCAGGCGGUUUGCUAAGACCGAUGUGAAAUCCCCGGGCUCAACCUGGGAACUGCAUUGGUGACUGGCAGGCUAGAGUAUGGCAGAGGGGGGUAGAAUUCCACGUGUAGCAGUGAAAUGCGUAGAGAUGUGGAGGAAUACCGAUGGCGAAGGCAGCCCCCUGGGCCAAUACUGACGCUCAUGCACGAAAGCGUGGGGAGCAAACAGGAUUAGAUACCCUGGUAGUCCACGCCCUAAACGAUGUCAACUAGUUGUUGGGGAUUCAUUUCCUUAGUAACGUAGCUAACGCGUGAAGUUGACCGCCUGGGGAGUACGGUCGCAAGAUUAAAACUUAAAGGAAUUGACGGGGUCAUAGCUGUUUCCU